AUUGAACGCUGGCGGCAGGCCUAACACAUGCAAGUCGAACGGUAACAGGAAGAAGCUUGCUUCUUUGCUGACGAGUGGCGGACGGGUGAGUAAUGUCUGGGAAACUGCCUGAUGGAGGGGGAUAACUACUGGAAACGGUAGCUAAUACCGCAUAACGUCGCAAGACCAAAGAGGGGGACCUUCGGGCCUCUUGCCAUCGGAUGUGCCCAGAUGGGAUUAGCUAGUAGGUGGGGUAACGGCUCACCUAGGCGACGAUCCCUAGCUGGUCUGAGAGGAUGACCAGCCACACUGGAACUGAGACACGGUCCAGACUCCUACGGGAGGCAGCAGUGGGGAAUAUUGCACAAUGGGCGCAAGCCUGAUGCAGCCAUGCCGCGUGUAUGAAGAAGGCCGUCGGGUUGUAAAGUACUUUCAGCGGGGAGGAAGGGAGUAAAGUUAAUACCUUUGCUCAUUGACGUUACCCGCAGAAGAAGCACCGGCUAACUCCG
rnacentral:rRNA from 1 species